AGAGUUUGAUCCUGGCUCAGGAUGAACGCUGGCGGCAUGCCUAAUACAUGCAAGUCGAACGAGAGACCUUCGGGUCUCUAGUGGCGAACGGGUGAGUAACACGUAGGGAACCUGCCCGCGCACCGGGAAUACGCUCUGGAAACGGAGAACAAAUCCCGAUGUACAGGAAGGAGGCAUCUUCUUUCUGUGAAACAUCCUCUAGGGGAUGGGGCGCGGAUGGACCUGCGGUGCAUUAGUUUGUUGGCGGGGUAAAGGCCCACCAAGACGAUGAUGCAUAGCCGGCCUGAGAGGGCGGACGGCCACAUUGGGACUGAGACACGGCCCAGACUCCUGCGGGAGGCAGCAGUAGGGAAUUUUCGUCAAUGGGCGCAAGCCUGAACGAGCGAUGCCGCGUGAGUGAAGAAGGCCUUCGGGUCGUAAAGCUCUGUUGCGGGGGAAAAAAGGCAGCAUCAGGAAAUGGGUGCUGACUGAUGGUGCCCCGCCAGAAAGUCACGGCUAACUACGUGCCAGCAGCCGCGGUAAUACGUAGGUGGCGAGCGUUAUCCGGAAUGAUUGGGCGUAAAGGGUGCGCAGGCGGUCCUGCAAGUCUGGAGUGAAACGCAUGAGCUCAACUCAUGCAAGGCUUUGGAAACUGGAGGACUGGAGAGCAGGAGAGGGCGGUGGAACUCCAUGUGUAGCGGUAAAAUGCGUAGAUAUAUGGAAGAACACCAGUGGCGAAGGUGGCCGCCUGGCCUGUCGCUGACGCUGAGGCACGAAAGCGUGGGGAGCAAAUAGGAUUAGAUACCCUAGUAGUCCACGCCGUAAACGAUGAGGACCAAGUGUUGGGGGUGAAACCUCAGUGCUGAAGUUAACGCAGUGAGUCCUCCGCCUGGGGAGUAUGCACGCAAGUGUGAAACUCAAAGGAAUUGACGGGGGCCCGCACAAGCGGUGGAGUAUGUGGUUUAAUUCGAAGCAACGCGAAGAACCUUACCAGGGCUUGACAUCCCGCUGACCGGUGUAGAGAUACACUUUUCCCUUCGGGGACAGCGGUGACAGGUGGUGCAUGGUUGUCGUCAGCUCGUGUCGUGAGAUGUUGGGUUAAGUCCCGCAACGAGCGCAACCCUUAUUGUUAGUUGCUACGCAAGAGCACUCUAACGAGACUGCCGUUGACAAAACGGAGGAAGGUGGGGACGACGUCAAAUCAUCAUGCCCCUUAUGUCCUGGGCCACACACGUACUACAAUGGCGGUCAACAAAGAGAGGCAAAACCGCGAGGUGGAGCAAAUCUCAAAAAGCCGUCCCAGUUCGGAUUGCAGGCUGCAACCCGCCUGCAUGAAGUUGGAAUCGCUAGUAAUCGCGGAUCAGCAUGCCGCGGUGAAUACGUUCCCGGGCCUUGUACACACCGCCCGUCA
rnacentral:rRNA from 1 species